CGUGAUGACCAACAGAUACAGUCGACGCUGCGUUUGAAUUUGAAAACGUUUCAGUCAGAGUUUCGAUGUGUUUCUUUGCUUCAUCUCACCCUGAAAUCACGAGUCCGCCAUGAAGUUUAAUAUGAAAAAGGCGAGACCGCUCUUGGCAUGGAUGAACACCCUGUUUCCAGAGAAGCAUGGCUGGGAGUUCGUUCCCAAGAGAGAUGGGCUUCGGCUCCUGAAGAUCUGCUUCAAACUAAGGGGAUCCGAGAACACUGAGGAUUUUAAGACUUUAUCACUUUACAAAAAAGUGGAGAUCAUUUUCAGUGUCUUGCAUGAUGAUUUUCACCUCACCAAAAGACAGAGUUCCCUCAUCUUACAGAGGAUCAGUGGAGGGAUUGACCUGGAGCUUCAGCUUGCUAAGGUGGCGCUUUUGCUUUGUUACUGCACUUUUAAGAAGGGCAUUCUGCUCCCAAUGGAUUCAGAUGUAGAGUCGGACCUUACAUCCAUGUUUCGUUUUGUAAAAGAGGAUGCUGAUGGUCUGUGUUUAGAGGAAGGCCUAGAUCAGUUUCUAGCCCAAGACUCUUUUAUGAACGUUGUGAACUCUAGCAGUGGAAGCAUUAGCAGCUCACUGUUAUACUCAGAUGACGAGUCUCCGAUCAUAAACCGGUCCCAACGGCCUCCCAGAGUUCAGUUUCAAGACCUUUGUACAGUGGCUUCCAGCUCGGACGGCUCUCCAGUGCAGGAUGUUAUGAGCACGCCGCAUUUCCAGCUGAAGAAACUCCGGAAAGAAUUGGCACAUGAGGGAGACGUGAGAGACGAGCUGGAGAAAGAAUUGACCAAUCAGAUCUGCAUCAUCUCAGAGAAGGAGGGUGUGAUUUCACAGUUACAGCACAGGGUGGAGCGAAUGCUGCGGGAACAAGGAGAGCUGGAGAAGGACCAUAAAGCUGCACUUCUGGAGCUCCAGGAGAAGAACGAGAGUCUUCUUCACAGAGUGCAUGAGGUUCUAAAGCAAUGCCAAGACUUAAAAACAGACAACUCCCAAAAAGAGAGAAAGAUUGAUGAACUGACAGAGGAGAAUGGAUCACUUACUGCACAGGUGCGCAAUGUCUUCGCUCAGCUGGAAAGAGCAGAAGAGGAAGUUGCUAAACUCACACUGGCUCACGAAUCUGCACAGACUGAGUGGAAGAGCAGAAAAGAGUUUCUGGAGAAGGAGCUAAAUGAGGCCGUCACACACAAGGAGAGUCUGAGUGAGCAGGUUCAGAUACUUCAGGGAAAGAUCUCCGUUCUGGAAGAUGAACUACAGAGAGCUCAAUCUCAAGAGAAAGGAGAGGUUUUGGGGCCCAUCAUGGAGUGGGAGAAGCUUAAAUGGGAGUUGGCAGAUCUGACUCUAAAACUCGCUCAGCUUCAGGAUACGAUUUCCCGUCUUGAGAAGGAGAAGGCAGAAGUUGAGGCUUUGUUGGCUGAGGAGAGAGGCUCUUUUGAAAAGGAAACCAAAAGACUCCAAAUGGUGGUGUUCGAUCUGGAGCAGUCCAUCAAUAGCAUCCGUUUGGAGAGAGAAACACUGCAGGAGGCUUUACGUACACAGAAGGAAAUGCUUACCACACAAAUAUCAGCUCUGGAAAGUGAUGUUUCUCGCCUACAACAGGUGGAAGUGGAGUUGACAGCAGAGAUAAAAACCUCUGCAGACCUUCGCCAACAGAGAGAGGAGCUGGAAGGGAAGGUAGCCUCUUUAGAUAAGAUGGUUCAUGCUUUGCAUGCUGAGAUCCAGGGUUUGGAAGUGGAAAGGGCAUCACAGCAGGAUGCUCUGAAUGCCCUUUUUGUUGACUUGCAAAGUGCAAGAGCCAAAAUUCAAGAUCAUGAGAAGAAGCUGGAAGAGCAUCAGAAAGUGGUGCAAGAAAAUGAAUCUCUGAAAAAGGAAGCAUGCAUAUUGCAGCAAGGUCUUGAUGAGCAUCUGCAGUCCAUUGGAGACCUUCAGGAGCAAAUAAAUAUUCUCAGACAGGAGAAAACAGAGGAGGAGAACAAAGUUAGUCAGGCUUCGACCAAAAUCAAGAGCCUCCAAACACAAAUUCUGGAUCUGUCCCAACAGAUUUCCCUAAAAGAUGAAGAAAUCAGAAAUCUGAGGAGCGAGUAUGACAAUGUAGGGCACGAGCUGAGGCUUGUUAAGGAACAAAAUAUUGAAAUAAAUGAAAUGAUAAAAUCAAAUCGCAAAGAGCAUGAGGACACAGUUAGGAAACUUCAGCAAGAGCUUGACUCUGCUUCUUCACUUGCUUCAGAAAAACAAGAAGAAAUGCUGGUUUUGUCAGUGGAGGUAACAACUCUUAAAGAGCAGGUCUGUCGUUACAGUAAAAAUGAAGUGAAGAAACAGCAAGAAUUGUCUGUUUUAGAGGCUCAACACAAUGUGUUGAAGGAAAACAUGACUUCUAUUCAGAACCAGUUGGCUGAGGUGACAGCUACAGCUUCACAGAAGGAAUCUGAACUCCUCUUGCUUCAACAGGAGCUGUGUCAUCAAGAAACCCUGAGAGGAAAAUCUCAGGAGCUUGAGAAAGCCAGACGUGAGGAGCUUGAGAUGACUGUGAGUGAACUUCAGGCCACAAUCCUAGAGGUAACCUCUAUUGUCUCAGAGAGAGAAGCUUGUCUGAGUUCUCUUCAAGAUGAGAUGAAAGAUCAACAAUUGAGGGCCAAGCAGUGUGAAGAUGAUCUACGUAAUGAGCUGAUGGAGAAGAUUGGAAAUCUACAAAAACUACUAAAUACUGCCAAUCAUGAUGCUGCAGACAAAGACCAUCUUCUGCAGUCUUUAAAUCAGAAGCUGAAGCAGGUGGAAUUGCUGUGCCAACAAAAAGAGAAAGAUGUUACUGAGAUGCACCAAGCAAAGGAAGAAUGGGAAAUGAGGAUUACUGAGCAGAAACAACAACUGAAUGAAUGCCAGCAGAAACAAGAAAUUCCUGUGUUACAGGCUGAUUACAAUGUUUUGAAGGAAAACUUGUCUGCUCUUCAGAGCCAGUUGGUGGAGGUGACGAAUACAGCUUCCCGAAAGGAAUCUGAGCUCAUCUUGCUUCAACAGGAGCUUUCCCAUCAAGUGACCCUAAGAGAAAAAGCUCUGGAGAUUGAGGCAGUCAAGGGUGAAGAGUUUGCGAAAAAGUUGAGUGAGCUUCAGGCCAAAAUUGUAGAGGUCUCCACUCUUGCCUCUCAGAGAGAGGCUCAAGUAAUUUCCCUUCAAAAUGAGAUGAAGGAUCAACAAUUGUGUGCCAAACAGUCUGAGGAUGAUCUUCGCAGAGAAUUGGAGCAGAAGGUUGGCACACUACAAGGAGAACUGGAUACAGUCAAUCGUUGUGUUGUGGAUAAAGACAAACUGCUGGGCUCUUUGGAUCAAAAGCUCAAAGAGAUGGAAGGGCUUUUCCAUCAAAAAGAGAAAGAUGUCCUUGAAAUGCAUCAGGCAAAGGAGGAACUGGAGAAGAGGAUCGUUGAGCUAAAUGUUGAGACGCAACAGCUUUCUGAGUGCCAGCAGAAUCUGGAAAUAUUAAGCAAGGAAAGAGACCACUUGUCAACUGAAGUGAUUUAUCUUAAAGAGGAAAUUUGUGGCUACCAGGACACUAAAGUGCAGAAGCAACAGGUGAUAUCCGUUUUAGAAGUUGAACGCAACACGUUAAAGGAGAACAUGGCUGUCCUUGAGAAGAAGUUGGUGGAGGAAACAACUGCAGCUUCACAUAAACAUUCUGAACUUCACCAGCAAGAGAGCCUUAGAGAAAAGGUACAGGAGCUUGAGACUGCCAAGCGUGAGGAACUUGAGAUAACGGUUAAUGAACUUCAAGCUAAAAUCCUAGAGUUCUCCACACUAGCCUCUGAGAAGGCUUGUGUUAAUUCUCCUCAAGAUCAGUUGAAUGCUAAACAGUCUGAAGAUGAUAUCCGUAAAGUGUUAGAAGAGAAAGUUGAAUCCCUUCAGGGACAACUGGAAACUGCCAGUCGAGACGUCUCCGACAAAGACCAGCUUCUGAAGACUUUAGAUCAGAAGCUGAAGCAAAUGGAUCUGCUGUGCCAGCGAAAGGAGAAAGAUGUCCAUCAGCUGAAGGAGGACUUGGAGAAGAAUAUUGGCGAGCUUGUUGUUGAGAAACAUCAGCUGGUAGAGUGCCAGCAGAAUUUGGAAACUGUGAGAAAGGAAAGAGACAACCUGUCAACUGAAGUAACCUCACUCAAAGAUGAAAUCCGACAUUAUCAGGAAAAAGAAGUGCAGAAGCAACAGGAGAUUUCUGUUUUAGAGGUUGAACGUAACACACUAAAGGAGAACCUGGCUACUUUCAAGACACAAGUGGCAGAGUUGACAACUACAGCUUCUCAGAAGGAAUCUGAGCUUCUGUUGCUUCGAAAAGAAAAAGAAAAGUCUCAGAAGCUUGAGAAAGAUGUAAGAGAACUUCAAGCUAAAAUACUACAGGCCUCCACUCUUGCCUCCGAGAGGGAAGCUCAAUUAAAUUCUCUUAAAGAUGAAAUAAAUGAUAAGCAGUUAAGGGACAAACAGUCUGAAGAUGAACUCCGCAGAGUGCUUGAAGAAAAGAUUGCAACCCUACAGAAACAACUAGAAACUUCCAGUUGUGAUUUCUUAGACAAAGACCAUCUUUUGCAAUCCUUGGAUCAGAAGCUGAAACAAGCGGAACUGCUCUGCCAACAAAAGAAGAAAGAAGUCCUUGAGAUCCAACACUCAAAGGAAGACCUGGAGAAGAAGAUUGGUGAGGAACUUGAUGAGAGACAACAAAAACUGGAGGAGUUCCAGCAGGAUUUAGAAAUCAUGAGAAGGGAAAGAGACAACCUAUCAACACAAGUAACCUCUCUCAAAGAUGAAAUCCAAAGUUACCAAGAAAAUGAAGUGCAGAAGAUUUCUGUUUUAGAGGAGGAGAAUCAGGAACUCCUGGAGCAGCUGAAGACAAAGUCAGAAGUGGUAGAGCACUACAAAGCACAGGUGGAGAAGGCCAUGAAUCACUACAACAGUAAAAAGCAACUGCUGGUGGAGGCUCAGGAGUUGAAUAAAACUCUCGAGCAUUUGUUGGAGGCCAGCAAGAGUGAAGUCAAAGUUCUGGAGACGAAACUGACACAGGCUCGUAUGGAACUCGACCAGGCGAGCACCAAGGAGAAAAACCUGUCGACCAAAGUGAAAAGCUUGGAAGCACAAGUGGACUUUGCUGACAGGCAACUGCGAGAGCAGAAAAUGAUGACUAAUGACAAAGAGAACAUGAGACACCGAGACAGUCUGUACACCAGAGUCCAGGAGAAACAGCAGGACAUCAGUACAGACAGCUUGGAGUUUGAGCCAAACGAUUCCCUCAACGCUAACAGUUGUUCGUCAAUACUGGGUGAAUCCAGCACUCCACUGGUACGUAGUUCUGAGCGUUUGGCUGCUAAACGUCGUGCCUUGGGGACUGAAUCCCUGGAGACUCUCUACUUCACACCUAUGAGUCAACAAGACAACAAGUGUAAAGGGUACCAGAACAACGACUUUGAGCACAAACUAGAGUCCAGCAUCACUUCCAUUGGUGAUCUUGUGGUUGACUCUGCAAAGAAGCCCACUGCUUCGGCUCGCAGGCAUCGUACUACACAGGCUAUCAACAUCACCAUGGCUAAGAAAACAUCAGGAUGUGGCGAAGGCGAGGAGUCAUUUUAUAGUCUGCACUCUGCCCAAUCUCAGCCCAACUUGGCAGGCCAACAUUCACGGCCGUUCUCCAUGGACCUCUCAGAGGAAAAUGCUGCAGCAACUUUAUCAAGAGCAGACACCCUUCAGCGUCUGCCCGGUUAUCGCAGAAGCACCGUGCACAACGCUGGCCUGCCAGGAGCCACCAGUACGUUCUUUAUUGGAGCAGAGAAUGAACCUGAACAUGCUGCGGAGGACUGGAUGCGCAUCGCAGAACUACAGUGGCGAAACCAGUCCUGUCUGCCUCACCUGAAGAGCAGCUACCCGCUGGAGUCCAGGCCCAGUCUGGGACCCUCAUUCACUAUAACGGAUGAGGACCUGCGAAUGGGUGACCCAAGUGAGACGAUCCGACGUGCGUCCAUGAUGCCAGGUCAGAUCCAGGAGUCCCUGAACAAUCGCCGCUUCUCCCUUGUGCCAAGUUCGAGCCAGAGCUCUGCCAACUCCAGGCCCCAGCGUGCAUCCAUGCUGCCGGGUCAGAUCCAGUCCAGCACUGCUGCUCACCGGGCCCCUAAAACAAGCUCAAACCUACGUGCUUCAGAAAAUAAACGCAGCCCGCUGGCUCCCAAACGCCCCGGCUCUCAACUACAAGCCCCAGACACGCCUGAGAUGAAGAAGCUGACAAGUUGCUUCCCGCGACCAUUGACACCUAAAAGCAUGUUUGGCAGCAGUCAUAAUAGACCUCCGAAGUCGCCGGCCGAACGAAGGCAAUCUGUGAUGUUCACUGUUGUAAAUACUCCAAAGAACAGCGGUCGUGGUGACAGCAGGCUGCAGCGUGGCCUCAACAAGCUGCGAAACAGCGCUCGUAAAUCUCCCGCCGUGGCCAGUCGUGCCCUGCAUUCAGCUGCGGGCGCCAAGUCUCCUCUGAGAAAGUCUCCCCGAAACAAAUCCCCCAAAUCCUCCAAUGCCAAAAAGGUGUAUUAAAAGCAUUUGCUGUGUGUGUUUAGGAAACACAGUGACUCGCUCCGCUGAUCUGUGCCUAAGUAUUAAACUACGAAGAUCAGGAUUAAGGUGUAAAUUUGAGGAUUUUUAAAUCCAAAACCAUCUGUGUCCUUUUCUUUUUUUUUUAAAUUUGCUUUGCUUUUCUCUUUUCAAAUAAAUUAUUUUUUAUUAUGGGAUGCAGUGGUCUUAAUUACUGUCUUGUUUAUGCAACUGGCUGUAUAAUAUUUAAGUGUAUUCCUUGUUCUGUAAUAAAGUCUAUUAUAUUAA